CAGCAGCCGCGGUAAUACGUAGGGUGCGAGCGUUAAUCGGAAUUACUGGGCGUAAAGCGUGCGCAGGCGGUUUUGUAAGACAGGCGUGAAAUCCCCGGGCUCAACCUGGGAAUGGCGCUUGUGACUGCAAAGCUAGAGUGCGGCAGAGGGGGAUGGAAUUCCGCGUGUAGCAGUGAAAUGCGUAGAUAUGCGGAGGAACACCGAUGGCGAAGGCAAUCCCCUGGGCCUGCACUGACGCUCAUGCACGAAAGCGUGGGGAGCAAACAGGAUUAGAGACCCCCGUAGUCCCUGUCUCUUAUAC
rnacentral:rRNA from 1 species